AAACAUCAGCUGGACUAUCCUCUCCAUCAACUGGUAUGACAGCCACACGUUCAAUCCACUCUUGAAUGGCAUCUGUAAUGUGAGGGACGACCUGAACAGUCUUCCCCAAAUAAUCUCCUUUUCUCUCCUUAUCAAGAACAGACUGGUAAAUUUUUCCAGUAGUUAUAUUGUUGUCACGUGUCAACUUAAUAUCCAGAAAGCGUUCAUAGUUACCAAGGUCUAGGUCCACCUCUCCACCAUCGUCCAAGACAAAUACUUCUCCAUGCUCAAAUGGAGACAUUGUUCCAGCAUCAGUGUUCAAGUAAGGAUCUAUCUUAAUGGAAGUAACGCGAAGACCACAGCACUUAAGGAUAAGACCGAUACUACUGGCGGUAACUCCUUUACCGAGCCCGCUAACCACUCCUCCUGUAACCAACACAUACUUCAUCUCUGAUUCUCCUCGUCAAUCUACUAAAGAUGGAUUUGAAAUUACCCGCCGCACCGAACAGCAAGCUGUGUGUAAACUUUGCUGAGAUAUGAAGGAAAAGAGAAUGGCAAAGGAGAAGGAAGAAUGGUAGGAGAGAAUGAUGGCGGAAACUUUGUUAGGUAUGAAAUAUGAAGCGAUGGCGGCUUUAUGGCUAUAUGUAUUAA
rnacentral:misc_RNA from 1 species